rnacentral:rRNA from 1 species
AAUAGAUACCCAGGUAGUCCACGCCGUAAACGAUGAAUACUAGGUGUAGGGGUUGUCAUGACCUCUGUGCCGCCGCUAACGCAUUAAGUAUUCCGCCUGGGGAGUACGGUCGCAAGAUUAAAACUCAAAGGAAUUGACGGGGGCCCGCACAAGCAGCGGAGCAUGUGGUUUAAUUCGAAGCAACGCGAAGAACCUUACCUAGACUUGACAUCUCCUGCAUUACCCUUAAUCGGGGAAGUUCCUUCGGGAACAGGAAGACAGGUGGUGCAUGGUUGUCGUCAGCUCGUGUCGUGAGAUGUUGGGUUAAGUCCCGCAACGAGCGCAACCCUUAUUGUUAAUUGCUACCAUUUAGUUGAGCACUCUAGCGAGACUGCCCGGGUUAACCGGGAGGAAGGUGGGGAUGACGUCAAAUCAUCAUGCCCCUUAUGUCUAGGGCUACACACGUGCUACAAUGGCAAGUACAAAGAGAAGCAAGGCCGCGAGGUGGAGCAAAACUCAAAAACUUGUCUCAGUUCGGAUUGUAGGCUGAAACUCGCCUACA